UGGGGAAUAUUGGACAAUGGGCGCAAGCCUGAUCCAGCAAUGCCGCGUGGGUGAAGAAGGUCUUCGGAUUGUAAAGCCCUUUCGGCGGGGACGAUGGUGACGGUACCCGCAGAAGAAGCCCCGGCUAACUUCGUGCCAGCAGCCGCGGUAAUACGAAGGGGGCUAGCGUUGCUCGGAAUGACUGGGCGUAAAGGGCGCGUAGGCGGCCCGCGCAGUCAGGCGUGAAAUCCCCGGGCUCAACCUGGGGGCGGCGCUUGCGACGCGCGGGCUGGAGUGCGGGAGAGGGCCGUGGAAUUCCCAGUGUAGAGGUGAAAUUCGUAGAUAUUGGGAAGAACACCGGUGGCGAAGGCGGCGGCCUGGCCCGCGACUGACGCUGAGGCGCGAAAGCGUGGGGAGCAAACAGGAUUAGAUACCCUGGUAGUCCACGCCGUAAACGAUGUGCGCUGGAUGUUGGGCGGCCUAGCCGCGCAGUGUCGCAGCUAACGCGAUAAGCGCACCGCCUGGGGAGUACGGCCGC
rnacentral:rRNA from 1 species